GAUGAACGCUAGCUACAGGCUUAACACAUGCAAGUCGAGGGGCAGCAUGAUCGAAGCUUGCUUUGAUUGAUGGCGACCGGCGCACGGGUGAGUAACGCGUAUCCAACCUUCCCUAUAGUAGAGGAUAGCCCGGCGAAAGUCGGAUUAAUACUCUAUGUUUUCCAAUGCAGACAUCUAAGUUGGAACAAAGGUUCACCGCUAUAGGAUGGGGAUGCGUCUGAUUAGGUUGUUGGCGGGGUAACGGCCCACCAAGCCUACGAUCAGUAGCUGGUCUGAGAGGACGACCAGCCACAUUGGAACUGAGACACGGUCCAAACUCC
rnacentral:rRNA from 1 species